GCGCGCGCGCUAACUAGAAUAUCCCCCAAGGCCCCGCAACCCUAAUCCCUUCGCUCCCCAUGGCAGACUCCGAUGAUGCCGCGCCACCAAUGCUGUCGCUGGAGGUGGUGGCCACCAACUCCGCCGCGUAGGAGGGGGCCGCCGCGAGGGUGGCGAGGAGGAUGCCGGGUGCUCGACGAUGUCGCGAAGCGAGAUCUAGGCGGACUUGGGGAGGCCGCGGAUGAGGUCGAGCAUCUCACAGCGGUACCCCGGGAUGGCCUGCGCCUGCGACGGCGAGCUCCCCCCGGAGGCCGGGUACGGCCGUCCCGCCACCCUCCUCCCUCAUCCGGUCCUCCCUCACCGAACCCGUGCCCAGGCGCCCACAGAUCCGCGCCCAGCCGCCCAGCAGCAAGAGCCCAGGCCGUGGUCGCCGCCGCCUUGCUUCGAAUCGCGGCGGCGGGGCACCCUGCCCAUCCUUAUCAGCUGACUCCGCCAGAUCAAGGGAGUCAGAGAGGGGGGAGGGAGCAACCAUGGAGUUGUCUAGUUCAAUCGCGUCCAUGACGGCGCAGACGCAGGCUCGGCUGCUCUGGCUACCGUAGAGUUGCCGGCCUGGCCCUGGCCGAGCGGGUAAGAGAUCCAUCGAUCCCAGCCUCCCAUCUCCCUCGCUCGAAUCCCCCGAUUAGCAGGUCUGUAGGGUGUUUCGCAAUCUACCUUCGCUUUGACUUCAUCAAAGAAGUUGCAAAUCCGCCAGAUCAAGGGAUUCAAAGCUUGUUUAUGCCCUUCGGAGUAUUUUGUUUCUGUUCCUUAUAGUAAUUAAAACCCGCUAAUACUACUUGGGAACUCUGGUUGAUACACAGUUUUUACUGCUACUAUUGAUGCUUUCAUACCAUCCUUAAACUAAAGAGAAAUAAACCUUGCUAGCAGUUUUCACAAGCUGUUAAGCAAGUCUCCAUUAAAGCUAAGGUUAAAAUCAUUUGUGUUCAAAUUCUAUAAGUCUUAGGUCAUCAUUAGGUCUAUACUUACAACAGUUUUUGCAUUGCAGCUUUGUGAAUUGUCAUUCCAGAAAACUCUGCAAUAUUUAUUCAAUGAUAAUCUAUGUUCAGUCCCCAGAAAAAUAGAAGUCAUUCAGUUUGGAUGAUUCCUGCAAUGUCACUGCCUUCCUGUUCAAAUAUGGUUGAUGGGCUGGGGCACACUGCAGGUAUAUGAAAUUCAUCAUGUAUCCUAUUUAAAAAUAAAUUCAACCUGCUUGAGUGUAAUGCACGGCCUAAAAAUGGUUCAUCAGUCACUGUCUUUUUUAUUCAGAACCUAUCCUUAUUAGGUUGAUAAUUACAAACUGAAUGUCUUUUUGAUUCAGAAUCGUAGUUGUUCAUUGGCCGUAAUCUAUCCAUAUUAUAUUCCAAAUUAUCAACUGUAUUUCCUUUUUAUUAAGAAUGCAUGAUCUGUUUCAGCGUGCAGAUCAAAUUAUUUGGUUGCUUGAUUUCAUAAUAGUGUCUGCUUAUGCAUUGGGUCUCAUCUGUAAUCCUUAUCAGUUAUCACCAAUCUUGAUUUAUUGGUUUCAUAAUAGUCUUUUAACCUCUCAAAAAAUCAGGACAGUCAUAUCUCCUGUGUCAGUACCAUGGUGUUUUUUUUAUCACAUUUGCGUUUGCUUCUGCUAGUUCAGUCCAAAGGUGCAUCUGCAUUUGUCUGUGCAUAUACACAGUUGAUUAUUGCUUUGCUAUUCAGUUAAAGAAAUUGAUUGUGAUCUAACAUCAGAUGAAAAGCAUUGAUUCCAAUGAGCUAUAAGCAGGAUGUAAGCUGCUAAGCUCAAUUACUAGCCUUGUAGUUGCAGAAUAAUUUGACUAGGCCUGUGCACGGAUCGUCAAAACCACCCAAUCCACCCAAUCCAGAACCACCCAAACCGUGACAAUAUUUCUUACAUGGAUUGGAUGGAUGACGGGUCAGAUCCAUCUGACCCAUGGGUCCAAACUCAAAACGAAAGUGCCCAUAUACUCUUCGUCUCUAGCUUGUUCUCUUUUCUCCUGAACUUGCUCUCGAGUGUUCCUGUCAAAUUAAAACCUAAAAUGGAUCCAACAUGCUUUGGGAGCUAGGAGCGGAGCCAACAUGGUCGAGCGUAGCUGACCGAAAGAAUCUUUGCGGACGGGGCAACGUCUGGCCUGAAGCAGCACAACAGCUCAGGCAGUACAAUUGACGGGAGGUCUCACGCCAUGGGAGCAAGGGCAGCAAGCUGCUGGCUCCUUCGAUGCUCUUCUUCUUGUAGAAUGGCUUCAUGAUUCGAUAUGCUAAGUCAGCUAGUUCUCGUUCUUUUAGAAAUAUAAUCUUAUGCAAGCUCAUGUGACUUGCUCUUACUGUAAAAUCUGAAGAAUGCUCAAAAACCAUUGAAUUUGACAUCAAACUAGACAACGAUGAGGGACAGAAGGAGGUAGAAAAUGAACUCUGCAUAGGGACGCGGGUGCCUGAGGAGCGCCCACGGAAGCCUUGGCGAUGUGGCGGUGCUGCGUGAGUAAUCAGUUCUGCUUAGAUGUGGAUCCGCGAAACCCAUAUAAUCCACCCAAUCCAGACCCAUCUAUCAGGUCCAUUCGUGGGUGGGUAGAAAAAUCUGUGAGAACUGUGUGAACCCAUCCAUGAACAGGCCUAAAUUUAACUGUCUUGUAAGCUAAAUGUCUAUUGGAUAUCAACUGACAUGCAAAAUUAAUUACUACCUCUUUCUACUGCCUGCGGCUUGCUAACACAGAGUACAUUGAUGGGCAAUUCUCUGGGAACAUGGGAGAGAUUUUGAUCAGGUAGCCUUUCUUUAUCCUUUGCUUCGAGCAUGCGCCAAGUAGUGUUGCCUAGUAAAUCUAGUAACCCAGAUGUUGUCAUCCUGCUGCUGUAAUCUGACUUGACUACUAAUCCUAAGGGUAGUGUGGAUCUGCAGAAUUUAUAUUUGGAUCUGCAGAAUUUAUAUUUCAAGGAAAGCUAGGGAUCCUUAAAAACCAUCAUUAGUUUGUGAACUUUUUAGAACUAGGAUAAGGGGUCAAUAGUUGGGAAUCUAUGAAAAAUUGGUGAAGAUGCUUCCUUCUGAUCUCAUAAUGGUUUUCAGGCUUAGAAGUGAAGAUGCAAGAGCCAUAAAAAUUGGUGAAAUGAUUGCAAGCAAGACAGGCAAGCUGGAAUGUAUGUUGGUAGUGCUAGCUGUUAUCAGGUGUUGUUUAUUGGUUCAUGUGGAUAGCAAUGCUCUAUACAUUCUUUUUUUUGAUACAUUCAGACAAGAAUAUUUUUAUUUUGAAGUACUUAUGUUCACUGCUCUGCAAAAUAAUCCAAAUCAGACUGACUUGUAUUCAAUUCCUAAGUUUUGUAGGUUGGAAUGACCAAAACAGAUGCUGCUGUACAGACGCUUUCUGAAUAAAUCCUGAUGUUGUGUUGGAGAUUUCAACAAUUAAAUAUGUGCCAAGAAUUUGAAGGAGAAGAAAUGGCACAACUGCUAUGGACGUGAAGCUACAAGAGUGAGUACAAAUUGGUGAAAUCAAGAGACACCAACAAGCUUGCAAGAAAUUGCUAGCUGUUAUUUGGCACUGUACUUUGAUUCAAAGUGUAUAGAGAUGCUCUGUAAAGCCUUCUUUUGAACGGUCAAAGUGUAUGUUAGUUUUGUAUGAUGGAAUGCAAAUGAUGGGCAAUGGACGCCUGCAUAUUUUUUUUGUUUUCUUAAUUCAACAUUGGUAACGCUUGUUGGUACAGCUGCGUCACUGAUAUCUUCUUAUUAGUAACACGUAAUUUCUAAAGCCGUCA